GGAGAGAUGUCCGAGCGGCCGAAGGAGCGCGACUGGAAAUCGCGUGUACUGUUAAUAGCGGUACCGAGGGUUCGAUUCCCUCUCUCUCCGCCA
rnacentral:tRNA from 1 species